rnacentral:rRNA from 1 species
CCGGGUGAGUAACACGUGACUAACCUACCCUAGAGUGGGGGAUAACCUCGGGAAACCGGGGCUAAUACCGCAUAACAUCGCAAGGGGAAGAUCCUUGCGAUCAAAGGAGCAAUUCGCUCAAGGAGGGGGUCGCGGCUGAUUAGCUAGUUGGUGAGGUAACGGCCCACCAAGGCUUAGAUCAGUAGCCGGCCUGAGAGGGCGCACGGCCACACUGGAACUGAAACACGGUCCAGACUCCUACGGGAGGCAGCAGUGGGGAAUUUUGCGCAAUGGGGGAAACCCUGACGCAGCAACGCCGCGUGGAGGAUGAAGUCCCUUGGGAUGUAAACUCCUUUCGAUCGGGACGAUUAUGACGGUACCGGAAGAAGAAGCACCGGCUAACUCUGUGCCAGCAGCCGCGG